rnacentral:rRNA from 1 species
UUUAUCAUAAGAUCAUUAUGCGUAAGUUUAUUCAAAUUAUUUUGCUUGCAAUUUAACAUUGGAUAAAUGCUUUUGAUUUGAUAAAAUGUUGAUAGAUGUAUUAUAUAUGGUGCUUAAAUAUAUAUUUAUAUAUAUAUUUUAUAAUUGCAUAUUAAUCAUUAUUGAUUUUUGUGUUUAUUAUAAUGCACUUGUAUGGUCAACAAUGCGAAAGAUUCAGGAUACCUUCGGGACCCGUCUUGAAACACGGACCAAGGAGUCUAACAUAUUUGCAAGUUAUUGGGAAUAAAAACCUAAUAGCGAAAUUAACAUAACUUUACAAAAGUAAUGAUGGGAUUAGUUUUUAGCCACUAUAUUUUAUAUAUAGUAGUCUAUUAAUUCAAUCCCGGGGCGUUCUAUUUGUUAUGUAUAAUAAUAUAUUUAUAUAUUAUUUAUACCUCUAACUAGAGCGUACCUUGAGCAUAUAUGCUGUGACCCGAAAGAUGGUGAACUAUACU